rnacentral:rRNA from 1 species
AAGGGAAUUACGAACAUACCUUUUCUCCACAUUGGAUCCAGAACAGGACCAGAGGGAUAAAAAACUGCUAAUUCGUAUAAAGCCAUUGAGCCAGCCCAACCAGAAACUAGAGCUCGACAAAACCAAUAA